AACUCAUAAGAACCCAGGUCGAAGGUUCUUCGGAUGUGCAAAGUAUAAGUUAAACUUGGAUUGUGGUUUUUUUUGCUGGUAUGAGCCUUGUAUUUUGCAAUGAAGGGCUGAUUUGGGGCCAAUGAUGGUUCAGACAAAAACAAA